CCCAUCAAAGUAUUAGGAAUCAAAAACUUGAAACACCCAUCAUCAAAACUUGCAAUAAAACUUAGAGAACAAACACCAACAUUGGAGGAUGUACAAAGAGCACAAUCAAUGAAACUUGCAGUUCUUGAAAAUGAGAAGAAAUCAAGAAUUGUGAUAAUAGGAGCUGUUUCUGUAGGAAUUUUGUUGCUUCUAAGUGGAAUGGAUGAACAAAAGGCAUUGGCUUUGGGACCUGAAGGACCACUUGUUGAAGAGUUUUGGGACAACGUGAGAAGGUAUGGAUUGUAUGCAUUAACUGUUAGUAC
rnacentral:lncRNA from 1 species